GCUUAAAGUUACGUUAUAUUGAAUGCACCAGUUCUUGCCUGAUCACCAAAGUUAAGCAAUGUCAAGCCUAGUUACUACUCAGAUGGGUGACCACUUGGGAAACCUAGGUGCUAUAAGCA
rnacentral:rRNA from 1 species